GUUUUUGACUUAAUGUUAUUAGUUAUAAUAUCUUAAUCAAUGGAUGUUGUAAGAGUAAACGUAUAGAGAAAGCAAUGGGAUUUUUUAGUGAUAUGAAUUCCAAAGGGCUGUCUGCUGACACUGUUACAUACAAUACCCUUAUAAGUGCAUUGUGCAAGGUAGGCAAAGUUCAAGCGGCAAAAAAUCUUCUUAAGGAGAUGUGUGCAUGCGGUCAUACUCCAGACUUGAUAACUUACUCGACUCUAUUGGAUGGUUUAUGCAAGCAUGGGUAUCUUGAUGAGGCAUUGGCUUUGUUUAAAGCAAUGCAAGGAAGUGGGUUGGAAUUGGAUAUUUUAACUUAUAGCACCAUCAUUGAUGGUUUAAGUAAGGGUGGGAAGCUUAAUAUUGGAAGGAACUUGUUUUCAAGCUUGUGUAUCAAUGGCCUAAAUCUUGAUAUAAAGACGUAUAAUAUCUUGAACAAUGGCCUUUGUAAAGAAGGGCACUUAGGUGAAGCAUAUGAGCUCAUCAGAGAAAUGGAAGGUACUGCUAGCUCUCCAGAUGGCGGUACUUACAAUAUAAUCAUUCGAGGAUUAUUCCGAAACAACAACACUUCUUUGGCGAUGCAGCUUCUUCGAGAAAUGGUUGAUAAGGGGUUCUCUGGAGAUGCAUCUACUGCAGAGAUGGUUGUGAAUUUGUUAACUAAUGAUGCAUAUGACAAAUCAGUUUCCAAGGAACUUCUUUGGCUACUUUAACUUGAUCUUUGAUUCAUGGAUGAGACAUAUUUCUCAAGUGAGUGGUCAGGUGAUUCUUCAGAACUUGUCUAGUUAUUGCUCUUCCUUUAUGUCUAUUUUGCUUCCUUGGAUUUCAGUAGCUAUUCGUUUCUUUUUGAAAUGAAUUGUUAUGUUUACAAAUAACUAAUUAAUAUUCUGAUCAAACAGUAUUAGCAACUACUAAUAUUUGUAACAAUUUUCUAGCUUCUACCGCUUUUGUUCCCUUUUCACUAAAAACUUAUAGAACUCUUUCAAUGUUACUAUUUAUUUUGAAGUUUCUGACUAAUGUCCUCCAAUCACAGCAUUACCUUUAAAAUCCUUGUCAUGUUAGGAGGCAAUGUGCUUUGUUUUUCACUAUUCAUUGAUAGAUUGAUUUCCUUUUUCUGAGAACUUAUAUGCAACAGCAAGAUAUUUUCUGCUACUUAUUGUUUAAGUUGAAGCAUAUUAUUUUUUUCUACAUGAUUUGCUAUUUCAAAUUAUAGGAAUCCUUUAUAUCAUUUCCAUGCAUGGUGAAAGAUCGAGUAAUGUCUUUCUUUUAAUUGGUGCAUGUGAAUAAACCUUUUAAUACAGGGUAAAUUGUAAUCAUAUCAGCAUCAAGCAACCGAGGAGUGCAAUCUUUCCAAGUUGGAUAAUGCUAAUGGAAGUCAAUAAAUCUAUGAGUCUGAAGGUGUUUAUAAAAAUUCAUGAGAGCGGGCUUGCCUUGGUGUUCUCUAAUACUAUUGCUCUUAGUUUCUUACAUGUCUUUGAAGUGAUUAGAGCUAUUUAUGUGGGUAGUUGUCUACUGGGCUUUCGUGGGAGGUUAUGAAUACUUUCCAGAAUGUUUUUUUUUCUUUGUUUUCUUAUUUUUAGUGUGAGUAUGCUGAAAAGCAUCAUAUAGCUGUGUAGCAUUUUGUCCUGCUGAUACACAUUCUCAGUUUUUCUGACCCUUCAAAUCGUCGGUUAUGUCUGGAGGCAAUGCAGUUUAGAGUUUUUGCUCAUUAUGUGUUUAAUGACAGUGGUUUAACUUAUAACUGACAGUGGGAUUGAUUGUUUGAAUUAAAGCUUAUUAUAGUAGUUUUCUUAAAUUUUUGAUAGUUCAAACUAGUGGAAUCCUUUAAGUUCGAGUAAUGUCUCUCUUCUUAUUGGUUCGCGUGAGUAUACCUUUUCCUUCCUCUUCAUUGUGUCAUUUGCCUAUGCCUUCUCUUUGUUUAUUUAUCAAUAUAAGCACUCUUACACUUCAUUAUUAGCUGCUGAUAUUGUAUUGCAAUCCUUCUUUCAAUAUUUGUAUGGGCCAUAAUUUUUGUGUAUCAUGGAGUGCUUAAUUGGUUUCAUAUUGUGCAGGACUAUUACCUAUCUGUAAGUAUAUUUCAUUCAGUUUACUCAGUAGACAUACCAGAAAAAAUCAGUCGUAUUCUGAAGCUUGAUUCUCUUCGCAAUGGCAAUAUAUGGAAAGAUAUGGAUUUAUUGAUCUUCAAUACUUGGCUUUGGUGGUACUGUAGCAGCCCUAAGAAACCCUAAGAGCUUAUAAAACACAGCUUUAAUUCUAUGAUUAGUAUUGACAUUACGAUGAUAUGAUCUAUUUUCGGAAUGUUUAGAUGGGAUUAUGUAAUUGUACAAUAUGGUGAGAAGGUACUAAAGGACAUGGACAGAAUGGAAGCAUUUCAUAAAGCCUUGACUUCAUGGGGUAAUUGGGUUGAUUCAGAUGUUGAUACAGCUAAACUAAAAUAGUCUUUCACGGGAUUACAGCGUUGAGGACUGGGAUCAUCCAGUAGUGAGAAACUGUGCGUUGGAUAAGCACCCGGUAAGCAGAUCAACGCACCGGGGAGGGCCUCUGCCUGUGUCAAAGGUGAUUAAGGAGGUGUUAAGUGGGAUUAAGAAACCAGUACAUUUGCUUGACAUGACAAUCUGCCGCAGCAUGGUAAAGAUGCACUUCCAAGUUCCUACAAUGGCUUCCAUGGCAUGGACUAGCAGACUGCACACUUUGGUGUCUUGCAGGAAUUCCAGACACUUGGAAUGAGCUUCUCUUUGCUGUUCUUACUGAUUAGAAGUGAGAGAGAUUGAUUCCUUGUUUGUUCAGAUGAAAUUGUUUGUACAACGAUCGAGUACCUUUAAUGGUUAAGUAUCCUUCUCAAUAAUAUAUAUUUUUCUAUUAGAAAA